rnacentral:rRNA from 1 species
UACGUAGGGUGCGAGCGUUAAUCGGAAUUACUGGGCGUAAAGCGUGCGCAGGCGGUUAUGUAAGACAGUUGUGAAAUCCCCGGGCUCAACCUGGGAAUUGCAUCUGUGACUGCAUAGCUAGAGUACGGUAGAGGGGGAUGGAAUUCCGCGUGUAGCAGUGAAAUGCGUAGAUAUGCGGAGGAACACCGAUGGCGAAGGCAAUCCCCCUGGACCUGUACUGACGCUCAUGCACGAAAGCGUGGGGAGCAAACGAGG